CUACGGGUGGCACCAGUGAGGAAUAUUGCGCAAUGGGGGCAACCCUGACGCAGCAACGCCGCGUGAGUGAAGAAGGCCCUUGGGUCGUAAAGCUCUGUCAAUGGGGAAGAAGUUACUUGGUAUUAAUAGUGCCUUGUAUUGACGGUAUCCAUGAAGGAAGCACCGGCUAACUCCGUGCCAGCAGCCGCGGUAAUACGGGGGGUGCAAGCGUUAUUCGGAAUUAUUGGGCGUAAAGGGCACGCAGGCGGUCCUGUCAGUCAGAUGUGAAAGCCCAGGGCUCAACCCUGGACGUGCAUUUGAAACAGCAGGACUUGAGUACGGGAGAGGAAAGGGGAAUUCCUGGUGUAGAGGUGAAAUUCGUAGAUAUCAGGAGGAACACCGGUGGCGAAGGCGCCUUUCUGGACCGAUACUGACGCUGAGGUGCGAAGGCGUGGGUAGCGAACGGGAUUAGAUACCCUCGUAGUC
rnacentral:rRNA from 1 species